UACGUAGGGGGCUAGCGUUGUCCGGAAUCAUUGGGCGUAAAGCGCGUGUAGGCGGUUCGGCAAGUCGGGUGUGAAAUUUCGAGGCUCAACCUCGAAACGCCACUCGAUACUGCUGUGACUGGAGUCCGGUAGAGGAGUGCGGAAUUCCUGGUGUAGCGGUGAAAUGCGCAGAUAUCAGGAGGAACACCAACGGCGAAGGCAGCACUCUGGGCCGGUACUGACGCUGAGGAGCGAAAGCGUGGGGAGCAAACAGG
rnacentral:rRNA from 1 species